UACGGGGGGGGGUAAGCGUUGUUCGGAAUUACUGGGCGUAAAGGGCUCGUAGGCGGCCAACUAAGUCAGACGUGAAAUCCCUCAGCUUAACUGGGGAACUGCGUCUGAUACUGGAUGGCUUGGAUUCGGGAGAGGAAUGCGGAAUUCCAGGUGUAGCGGUGAAAUGCGUAGAUAUCUGGAGGAACACCGGUGGCGAAGGCGGCAUUCUGGACCGACAUUGACGCUGAGGAGCGAAAGCCAGGGGACG
rnacentral:rRNA from 1 species